AAGUCGUAACAAGGUUUCCGUAGGUGAACCUGCGGAAGGAUCAUUAGUUGACAGGCCGUUCGCGCGGUACCUGAAAACCCUCCUUACAUGCGGCCGGAGUUCGGCGUCGAAGGGCAGGAAGCCCCAUCGCCGGGGCGGAGUCCGGCCGGGAAUCCUCCGGACAAACCAUGCCAUUGAAACCUUGACGGUCCGUGAGAGAAGUGAAUGAAUUAUGCGAAAAA
rnacentral:misc_RNA from 1 species